AGUGAACGCUGGCGGUAGGCCUAACACAUGCAAGUCGAACGGCAGCACAGUAAGAGCUUGCUCUUACGGGUGGCGAGUGGCGGACGGGUGAGGAAUACAUCGGAAUCUACUUUUUCGUGGGGGAUAACGUAGGGAAACUUACGCUAAUACCGCAUACGACCUACGGGUGAAAGCAGGGGAUCUUCUGACCUUGCGCGAUUGAAUGAGCCGAUGUCGGAUUAGCUAGUUGGCGGGGUAAAGGCCCACCAAGGCGACGCUCCGUAGGUGGUCUGAGAGGAUGUUUCGCUACCUGGGAACUGAGAAACGUUCGCGACUCCGGCGCUAGGCCGCAGUGGAGAAUAUUAGACAAGGGAGGAAAGCCUGAUCCAACCAUACCGCGUGGGUGCAGAAGGCCUCCGGGUUGUAAAGCCCUUUUGUUGGGAAAGAAAAGCAGCAGGUUAAUACCGCACUGUACUGACGGUACCCAAAGAAUAAGCACCGGCUAACUUCGUG
rnacentral:rRNA from 1 species